UUUCUUGGUAAUACUGACACUGUGGUUGAUGUAAUGCCUAGCUUGCUAGAUGUUCUCCGGUCAUGCAGCCAUUCAGGGGAAGCAAAACGGUGGAGACUGGAGACUGACGUCAUCAGCAUCGGUAUGAAAGCUUACAUAUAUUGGUGAAGGGAUAUAUGGUACAAG